rnacentral:rRNA from 1 species
UACGUAGGGCGCAAGCGUUAUCCGGAAUUAUUGGGCGUAAAGAGCUCGUAGGCGGUUUGUCGCGUCUGCCGUGAAAGUCCGGGGCUCAACUCCGGAUCUGCGGUGGGUACGGGCAGACUAGAGUGAUGUAGGGGAGACUGGAAUUCCUGGUGUAGCGGUGAAAUGCGCAGAUAUCAGGAGGAACACCGAUGGCGAAGGCAGGUCUCUGGGCUGUAACUGACGCUGAGGAGCGAAAGCAUGGGGAGCGAACAGG